GGACCCACAACAGCAAACUGUACAUCGGAUGGAACGUUGACUGCAACACCACAGUGCAAGAAUCUGGACUUUGAAUGUGAAGGGCAGAGGUUCAAAGUCGCUGUCAAUCUCACCCGUACUAGCUUUCGCAAGGCUCAGAGAUUCUGCAGGCAAAAUGAGAUGAAGUUGCUAAGAACUCGCUUGCACGAGAAAUUCACCCAGUGUUCCUCGUACAUGGAUGUACUGGGGCGUGCAGCUGUUGACACCGUCUGGAUGAGAACAGUUAGGACACGUUCAAGGUCGACCCCUUCGAUCAUGUAUGACAUCAUCAGUAGAGAGCUGAUGAGCGUGCCAGAUGCCACAGCAACGUUUGCCUUCAUAUGUACUCGCAGAGUAUAACUGGUCUGACUGCAAUCCCCUACGGACGUUGGAGGAGGAAAUAAGCUUGAUGGAGGGAGUACAACACGUAUACCGGGUCAAGGUGCUGAUGCAAGUGUCGCCAAGCCUGACAACCGUCUAAAAUCCGGUACCCCAGUGUCGGCAUGUGCAUCGACC